rnacentral:rRNA from 1 species
GACGAACGCUGGCGGCGUGCCUAAUACAUGCAAGUUGGGCGCUGAAGGUUGGUACUUGUACCAACUGGAUGAGCAGCGAACGGGUGAGUAACGCGUGGGGAAUCUGCCUUUGAGCGGGGGACAACAUUUGGAAACGAAUGCUAAUACCGCAUAAAAACUUUAAACACAAGUUUUAAGUUUGAAAGAUGCAAUUGCAUCACUCAAAGAUGAUCCCGCGUUGUAUUAGCUAGUUGGUGAGGUAAAGGCUCACCAAGGCGAUGAUACAUAGCCGACCUGAGAGGGUGAUCGGCCACAUUGGGACUGAGACACGGCCCAAACUCCUACGGGAGGCAGCAGUAAGGAAUCUUCGGCAAUGGACGAAAGUCUGACCGAGCAACGCCGCGUGAGUGAAGAAGGUUUUCGGAUCGUAAAACUCUGUUGGUAGAGAAGAACAUUGGUGAGAGUGGAAAGCUCAUCAAGUGACGGUAACUACCCAGAAAGGGACGGCUAACUACGUG